UCGAAGGAGCUACAAACGGCAACAAACCCGGUCUUUGGGAGAUCCGACUCAUCAGCGGUGACGGUUGCGUGGAGCUGAGUAGUAUAAAUUGCGGCCAAAUUGUAGAAGACAACAUCAGUUCACCGGGAGCAAUUCCGGAGGCGGCGGUCGUUCUGGCGGUUUGGCGUCUGGUAACAACAAUUCUGCUUUGGGUAAAUUUCAGUCGGCGUUGCAAGAUUGUUUUGGCAAGCAGCAAAUUCCUAGCAGAUUCUUUGUUUGGUACUUUGGUCGCAGCGGUGGGAGAUUGAAGAUGGCGUAAAUACGCACAAAGGACUGACCCAUAUAGCCGCUCCGACAAGAAGUCACCCGACCAGUCCGUCAUAUCCAUCAACCCGACCGGAAUAAAUACAGGAGGCGGUCCACCAGACUACGCUCGAGAUAAAACCAUGGCGUUAUUCCCACCCAGCGACACGUGAAGGGGUCAACAGAGACUUCUUGUAAUCAAGACAAAGUCAUUGGCCGAUGGGCAGAUGUGCGGUUGGCCAAUCGAGGUUGCAAGGACGGAGCAACAAGAAAAUGAAAGGAAAAAAUUGUCCGAUCAAAAAUUUUCAACAUGCUAUUGGAAGCUGGAAUUACCAGCUGGAUGACGAACGACCGGGAAUAAUACUGUAGACCAUCUGGAACACUACUGUAGACCAUCUGGGAACACUACUGUAGACCGACUGGGAAGACUACGGUAGACCGACCGAGUGGAACUUUGUUCGUGACAAGCUAAUUGGAACAAAUUACAAGGAAAUUAUUCUCACUUCUCGAACCCAACGAUUCUCGUGGAUUCAAGAAGUGGGGGACUCGUGAUGGGUAAAUACGCAUAAAAGACUAACCUGUAUAGCCGCUCCGACAAGAAGUCACCCGACUAGUCCGUCAUAUCCAUCAACCCGACCGGAAUAAAUCACUUGUGAUCAACCGUACCGCCCGUAUCGAUAGGCCUUGUGACAAAAAUGCUCUCGGAUCACCCUUGGAGUCGCCCCGAUGGAAACACACCCGACCGGUCUACCAUAGGAUGAUCGAUCUACCAAAGGAUGACCGGUUGGUCAACAAUGUGACGCAACCUACAAGCUGAAACCUUAUCUUACACAACAAGUAAAGCAGUCCAACUUGCGCCUGCAGGCCGGCGAUUGACAACUUGCGGCGCUGCAACCUUGACCAGUCAACCUACCCGUAGCCUGCAGAGUGACCGCCUGACCAAGCCAACAAGAGGACGCCACGUCAAGCCACUUACAGCCGGUGCAUUAAAUGCGUAGACCGGCUUGAUUAGUAUAAAUAGAAGGGGUCUCCCCCUCACUUCUCAUCUCUAUCUGAUUGUAACUACUACUACUCACUACUUGUAAUCUCACCCUACAACGUCAAUCUAUAUCACGGUCUACACCCCGUAUAACCGUUCACUCGUAA